rnacentral:rRNA from 1 species
GACGAACGCUGGCGGCGUGCUUAACACAUUCAAGUCGAACGGAAAGGCCCUGCUUUUGUGGGUUUCUUGAUUGGCGAACGGGUGAGUAACACGUGAGUAUCCUGCCCUUGACUUUGGGAUAACUUCAGGAAACUGGGGCUAAUACCGGAUAUGAUCUUCUGCUGCAUGUUGGGGGUUGGAAAGUUUCGGCUGUUGUGGAUGGACUCGCGGCUUAUCAGCUUGUUUGUGUGGUAGUUGCUUACCAAGCCUUUGACGGGUAGCCGGCAUGAGAGGGUUACCGGGCACAUGAGGACUGAGAUACGGACCAGAAUCGUACGGGAGGCAGCAGGGGGAAAUAUUGCACAAUGAGCGGAAGUCUGAUACAGAAACGCCGCGUGCGGGAUGACGGCCUUCGGGUUAUGAACCGAUUUGGAAUGUGACGAAGAGUGAGUGACGGUAAUGGAUAAAGAAGCAACGGCUAACUACGUG